rnacentral:rRNA from 20 species
GCGUUGAGCUAACCGGUACUAAUGAACCGUGAGGCUUAACCUUACAACGCCGAAG